UUGUGGAGGAGGACGCCGAAGGUGGGGCUAAUGACUGGGGUGAAGUCGUAACAAGGUAGCCGUACCGAAAGGUGCGGCUGGAUCACCUCCUAACAGGGAGACAACAAAAUGUUUAUAUUAUUUUGUCACCUUAGGUCGAUCGGUAUCUCACGUUCUUAAUUUAUUAAGAAUUUCAUUUCCUAAGUUUUCUAGGUCACACCCAUUAUUUUUCCUGGGCCAUUAGCUCAGGUGGUUAGAGCGCACCCCUGAUAAGGGUGAGGUCCCUGGUUCAAGUCCAGGAUGGCCCAUAUCUCUAUGUUGGGGGUAUAGCUCAGUUGGUAGAGCGCCUGCUUUGCAAGCGGGAUGUCAGCGGUUCGAGUCCGCUUACCUCCACUGAUUACCACCUCUUCCAUAAUUUAUAGAUAAGGAAAUGUUUUGAGAUGUGAUCAACUUCUGAACGAAUCUAGCUUCCUAAUAAAAUUAUUAAGAUGCUGGACUCAUUGAAUUAAUUUCAUUGAAUUCAGAGAACCUUGACAACUGCAUAGAUUAUUUUUAAAGACAAUAAGCAUCUUUUAUGAUGCAGAUUUAUUAUUUGUGCAAAUGCAUUAAUAACAAUUCUAUUAAGCUGAUGCUUCAAUUUUGAAGUUAUUGGUCAAGCUACAA
rnacentral:misc_RNA from 1 species